rnacentral:lncRNA from 1 species
AUUUGGCUCUAUGUGAUUGUGGGAAGGAUUGCCCAUCUAAAAUAGCUAACUUGACGAAUUGGGAUGACCGGAUAAGUUGGAACCAUGCUCUUUGGAUUACAUCAGGUUGGUCAUAGCCAACCUUUACACACUUCGGUCAAAAUCGAGGAUCAAGUCAGCCGAGGCCGAAGUGAAGGCCCAUACCGGACAUGUAUGGAUUUGAAAUUAUAAUUAUAUUUUAG